rnacentral:rRNA from 1 species
UACAGAGGUCCCAAGCGUUGUUCGGAUUUACUGGGCGUAAAGGGUGCGUAGGCGGUUGGGUAAGUCUGACGUGAAAUCUCCGGGCCUAACCCGGAAACUGCGUUGGAUACUAUUUGACUAGAGGACUGGAGGGGAGACUGGAAUACUUGGUGUAGCAGUGAAAUGCGUAGAUAUCCAGUGGAACACCAGUGGCGAAGGCGAGUCUCUGGACAUUUCCUGACACUGAGGCACGAAGGCUAGGGGAGCAAACGGG